rnacentral:rRNA from 1 species
GACGAACGCUGGCGGCGUGCCUAAUACAUGCAAGUAGAACGCCGAAGAGAGGAGCUUGCUCUUCUUGGAUGAGUUGCGAACGGGUGAGUAACGCGUAGGUAACCUGCCUUGUAGCGGGGGAUAACUAUUGGAAACGAUAGCUAAUACCGCAUAACAAUGGAUGACACAUGUCAUUUAUUUGAAAGGGGCAAUUGCUCCACUACAAGAUGGACCUGCGUUGUAUUAGCUAGUAGGUGAGGUAAUGGCUCACCUAGGCGACGAUACAUAGCCGACCUGAGAGGGUGAUCGGCCACACUGGGACUGAGACACGGCCCAGACUCCUACGGGAGGCAGCAGUAGGGAAUCUUCGGCAAUGGGGGCAACCCUGACCGAGCAACGCCGCGUGAGUGAAGAAGGUUUUCGGAUCGUAAAGCUCUGUUGUAAGUCAAGAACGGGUGUGAGAGUGGAAAGUUCACACUGUGACGGUAGCUUACCAGAAAGGGACGGCUAACUACGUG